UGCCUUUUUCCCUUGGAACGA
rnacentral:piRNA from 1 species